rnacentral:rRNA from 1 species
UACGUAGGAGACGAGCGUUGUCCGGAAUUACUGGGCGUAAAGCGCGUGUAGGCGGUUGGGCAAGUCUGCUGUGAAAGCUCCUGGCUUAACCGGGAGUGGUCGGUGGAAACUGCCAAUCUGGAGGACGGUAGAGGUAGGUAGAAUUCCCGGUGUAGUGGUGAAAUGCGUAGAGAUCGGGAGGAAUACCUGUGGCGAAGGCGGCCUACUGGGCCGGACCUGACGCUGAGACGCGAAGGCGUGGGGAGCGAACGGG